rnacentral:lncRNA from 1 species
CAGCAGGUAAGCACAAGGUCAUCAAGCCUGGGGGUUAGGGUUGGAGGUCUCUCCUUGACACAUACGGUGGAAGGAGAGAAAGAACCAACUGCCCCGUUAGUUGUCUUUGGACCUCCACAUGUGCACUGUGCACGUGAGCAUCCCCUACACAGGCCACACUAAUAAACCCCAGCUGUAGCUAGGCGCCUUGCACUCUCCUAGCACGGUGUCUGAAGCAAGGCUUCCACUGUCUCUAGCCUAAUGAGGAAACCCCUAAUGGGGUGUAUGUGGUUUGACUCACCAUAGAUUUUCUUUUUCUGAUAAACUGCCAAUGGUUGACAUGUACUGGAGAACUGGUGGAUAAUUUUGAAAAGCUGUAUGAAUAAGUAAAUUGUCCACAGAAAUAAUUGUAGAGAGGGGUUUAACUUAACCAGCACUGCCUUCUAUUAAUACUGGUGGAAUCUCUAACUUAGGUAGUCAAGACAGAUGAUGUGCUAUCCCCUGUUGAUAGCAUGGAGUGGCCAUACCUUCCUUUCACUGUUUGAGCCAGUAGGGUCCAGCUGCCACACACCUGUAGGGAUCUCUGAACUUAGGCCAGCCUGGUCGGCCUAGGGAGCUUCCGAUUAGCCAAGGCUACGUAUAUAGACCCCGUGUGACGAAUGUUUUUAAGUCAACAAGGUCCCAAACAACUACAGAGGGAGGAAAAAGAAUUGUCUGGUUCUGUGGCUAAUUAGGGAGGAACCCCAGCCUUUGAGUUUAUAUCAUCAGUUUUACAAGGAAAUACAAAGCUUGAAAGGUCAGGGGGCUAGGAUUAAAUUUGGUUGUUUUUAUUGAAAACUUCUCAUUAUAUCUGAUUACCUUGUGGUCUCAAUACUAUUAUUAAUUUUCUCACAGUCAAACCCAAGACACUAAAAAAAAAAAAAAAAAAAGAAUUAAUGCUUUGUGAAGGAAAAUGAAUGUGUUCCUAUUUUUCAUAAUCCUGGCAUUCUUAAAUUACUGUAUCAUUAGUCCUACUUUUGUGUUUGCAAAGAAUUAAACAUUGUAUUGUCCACUUU